AAGUUUUCGCUGGGCAACUGAGAAGGUCGCUGUCAAGAUGGAGUUUCCAACCCAGUAAAUCCAAGGGCCAGACCGUGACCUCAUAAAGCAUGAUCUCCUUCUGUCCAGACUGUGGCAAAAGUAUCCAAGCGGCAUUCAAAUUCUGCCCCUACUGUGGAAAUUCUUUGCCUGUAGAGGAGCAUGUAGGGUCCCAGACCUUUGUCAAUCCACAUGUGUCAUCCUUCCAAGGUAAGAACCAGAGCAUUGAGCCUGUUUCUGCGGUGGGAAUAAGGUGCAUACACGUGUGUGUCUGCGGAGGGAGGAUGCCUUUGCAGCCUGUCUGACCCUGUCCUGACACUGGAGAAGCCCAGGCCUCAGGACUGGACCCCUCUGUCUACCAUCAGUCUCUUGGCCUCUUAUUGGCCUCAUGGCUUUGAACACUGUCUCCAUGUUAACAUCUCCUUCAUUUCUAUCUCCAGCCAGCCUGGACUCCCCUGCUUGGAGGAGAUAUAUGUGCAGCCUGCCAGCUUGGCACCUGCAGGUUGAGUAUCCCUUAUCCGAAAUGAUGAGGACUGGAAGUAUUCUGAUUUUGGAUUUUU
rnacentral:lncRNA from 10 species